GAUGCGAGAGAUUGAACUUCAACGGCAAAUACUGUGCGAUGAGCGGCAGCUACUUGAGGGUGUGGUGGUCAAUGGGCAGGCGGGGCCAUGGUGCUCGGCGCCGCGGUGAGCGGCGGCAGGCUUUGGGGUCGGGCGGCGCUGCGGCGGAUAUCGUGGCGGGUGACCUCGGCGUCAUUGGGGCUGUGGAUGGCUUGGCAAGUUGGCCGGGGAUUGUUCUCUUAACCGCGUUGUGCAUGGCCUCUCAUCACGGCUGACGGAGACAAGGGUUCGGUGGUUCCAUGCCACCGAGGAUUUGUAGGAGACAAUGGAUCUGUGACUGUGAGUACAUUGUUGCAGCUUUCCGUCGGGAUAAAGAAGAUUGGGAUUUGAAAUUUGAUGCGUGCUUACCUUAGACCAAUUUACUUUUUGCCAUGAAUUUCUUAGUUACGGGGUGGGAUAUGAGGGAUUUUUACUAUCUAAUUCUUGUAUGCAUGAUUUUCUAAUUCUUUUUAAGAUGUGAUCUCGUUGUGUGUUGCGGGGGGUGCGCCCAUUGGUCGGCGGCAGCGUUGAGGCCAGCAGAGACGCGGGGGGCUUCGCGACUGGUGGAGGCUUCGUCGGUCGACGGCCAGGCCUUGCGGGAGGCUUCGUAGUCUCAUAGCAUGGUGUUUGGCCUGCACCAUGUCCGGUGUCCUGGGCAGCAUUGAGCAUCUCGAUUGCAAUUUCCCUACCUGAGUGCCACUAGUCGCCCCAACAUCCAGAUCUCGCCCAUAUUAACCAGGCAGAGGAUGAGAGGACCCCCAGGUGCCUCAAAAGGUUAUGGUUAUUUUUGUUCUCGUGACUUUAGGAGGAAUCUUACUUGUUCCUUUCUUGUAUGUAUAACUCUUUGACCCAAUUCUUUGAUACGGUGUGUCAGAAACUCAGAAUAGGAUAAGUUACGGUGAUUGUAUGAUUGAUCUACCUGCAGUUGUGAAAUGAUCCGAUUUAGUUGGACUUCGUUGCACGAGCUCGUCUUAGGGAAAACAAUUAGCCAACUUAGCUCAAAGAAAUUUAAAGGAGGUUAAUCAGAAUCUGAUUUGCGUGAUAGUAUUCUGAAAAGUAACCUGCAGCCUGUUAUUGCAAAUGGCAAGAAGAGUAGGCAUUUAUUGCUUUUACUAAUGGUCUUGUUUCCUUUUGGAGUAGGUUACUACUUUAUUAUGUCGUUAGUUUGUUUUCUUUUGGGUUCAAGCGAAUCAUUGUUUUCGAAUUCAUAAUGUCCAUUUGAUUUUCACGGAAUGGAAAGUGUCUGCCUCAAGUGCUAACCUGAUAGAAUAAAACUCUGGGGCAGAAUCCAGUUUUGUGUUUGAGCCCUUGGAGUCUAAUUUCUACAAUACUUCAACACAUAUUUGUUGGGAAACAGUUUUGUGUUCUUUAAUCCACUUUGUACGUUGUCCACUAGCUACUAUAAUCCAUGAGGAGGAGCUGAGAAAUUACUGAUUUUCAGUGUUGUUUCUGUUUAUGUCGUAGCCGGGUGUGGCAUGAGGUGAUCUCAAGCCUAAUUUAUUCUACCUGAAUCUAAUGAACUUCUGUUUUACUUAAGGUUGUGUUAUAGUUUUCAUCUGAGGUUAUUUGAUUCAGAAAUAAAAAAGUUCUAUCAUCAGAUUGCAGCCGCCAAGGUAAAUCUUUACCUUCACUCAAGUGACUAAGAGAAGCUAGAAAAGAAAUGAUGAGAGAAGCCAGACAGCUGAUUGAAGAAAGCAAAUGAAAACACAAGAUAGAGACAAGCUGCAUUUAUUCCCCAGGGUUACGUUUACCUUCUAGAUACUUAUCAGAGAACACUUCAAGUCCAUCUGAUUCCUUUUUUUCGUGCGAAAAUAUAGCUGAUUUUUUAUACCUAUCAAUCGGGAUAAUGAGGUUGCUGACAUGCCCACAUCUUCAGAGGUACUUGUUCAAGUGGUUGUCAGCUAAUGUAUGAGGGAUAGAGAGUAAUGUUUUUAUAUUUAGGAUGGGUAUGAGUAAUGUUAAAUUGAAAUUUCAGAACUUCUUUUGCAAAUAAACAGUAGCAAAAUUCAGGUUUUGGCGAGAAGAAAAGUGAACCUAAAGGCCACAGUGCAAUUUAAUAGGAUACUAUGC